CUAUAGCCUCUUUUUCUUACAAGGACAAAAUUGAAAUUUGGAAAAAAGAAGAAGAAAGAAAAAUGGCAACUUGGCCCCUCCUCCUACCUUACUCCCUCUCUCUCGUCAUACACCAUGGCCACCACUUCACACACUCACCUGCAAUCAGCCUCUUUUACCAUCUAACACUCAUUUUGGGUCAUCAUUGCCUCGCUUCACCUCUUGCCGACGCCGAACAACAUCAAGAGUUGCUGCUUAGCGUGCUUCGAAGAGUGAGAAAACAUCUCUCACCGCUGCCAUUGCUAGUUUGACAUCUUGCCAGCCUCUUUUGGCCGACCAGACCCCAAAAAUGAGCUCCUCAUGUCGAAAAACCUUAGGACAGUGAAGCUCAGCCCCCGAUCUCCUUCGUUUCACUGUUGAUCAAGCUCCCCGGCGUUAAAACCUUAAAUGGCGAUAUAGGAUUUUUCGGCCACUUUUUGGUAAAAAUAAUUGUACAUCUGGAUUUCUGAGAUUGUGGGCUUUCCUUUGGUGUGCUCGGAUCGAAUUUUCAUCAUCGUUGAAAAUUUUCCGAUGACCGGGUCCGGUGACCUCGGGACACGUGCCGACGGGUGAAAUUUUAAUUUUUAUUUCUGAACGUUCAUUUUUCGGCUUGAUAUAGUAAAUUUUUAAUCCGAACUUAUUUAGUUAAUUAUUUAUAUUUAUAUUUCAGAUAGUUACUUAUUAAUUAGAAAUCGUUAUAUAUUUGAGAUUAAUUAGGGAUAAUUAGUGAUAAAUUGAUAAAUAGAGAUUAAAUUGAGUUUGAUUAAGAAUUAACUAUGAAAAUUUGAUUUAUUGAUUUAAUUAUUAUGGUUAGGAAAUUCUAUUAGCUGGUUUAUUAAUUUCGAAAGUAUUAAUUUAAUUAUUAUUAUUAUUAUUAUUAUUAUUAUUAUUAUUACAAAAUCGAAAAAUUGAUAAUACUAAUUUGAGAAUAAAAUAAUUUAAGAUAUUAAUUGAUCAUUAUGGUAUUAUGUUAAAGGGUCCUGAGUCAUAAUUGCAGAUAAAAUCUUGCUCACCAGUCAUAUGACUAACCCGUAAUUUCUCAGUAGUGUAGAAUUAGGUUGACUAUUUUAUAUAGAAUGGAUAUAAAUAUUUAUUAUUACUUGUGGAUUUUAAAUUCUCCAUCCCAUCAGCUAGCUACAUCGGAUGUGUGGGCAGCGCAUAGAAAGACGUCAUAUUUGUAAGUUAAAAUUAUAUAAGCACUGCAUAUGUGUCAUGCGUAAUUUAAAUGCAACGUUUUUAUUAAUAAUGUUUAUUAUUAUUAUCGAUAUUUAUUUAUUUAUUUUAUUUUAACCAUCAUAUUUAUCAUUGUUAUUAUUAUUGAUAAUAUUGCAUUUAACCUUUAUAUCCGCUAUACUCGAUGCUAUUUAAUUCUAAUAUUUAAUGAAUUAUUGAAUAAUAUUAAGAUUGCUUGUGAUUUAUGUCAUUUUUCACAUUAUUAAAAUUAUGAGACAGUAGGAGAACAUGCCACUUGAUGGGUUGCAUGAGGACCGCGUGCGCACCGGUAUAAAUCACAGACAGGUAAUAGAAAUAUAUUCUUGUGAUGCUCCUAGUCGAGCAUUGCUCUCUGGGUGCCGGCUAUAUUAGAAAUUAAGUGACCAGACUGGAUUUAAGGACCCUGGUCGAGCUUUGCUCUCUGGGCGCCAGUCUUAUUGGAAUAAAAGAGUCGAAUGGCUAAUAAGAUUGAAGUUUAGGGUUCUACUGAGGUACUCGUCCUAUAAACAUUUAAAUUGUAUUUUUCUGAAUCAUUACAUGACACACGUUUUAAUAUGAUAUAAUACUCUAUUCUGAUUAAAUAAAUAUUUUAUUGAGAUGGUUGUAUUUAUUUUUGGAUUAUAUUUUAACUCAUUAUGGAGACUGAUAGUUUCAAAUUUUAUUUUUUCAGGUGUCUGUUAGGUUUUCUGCAGUUCUUUUUUGGCACCCCGGCUUUCUUCAUAUUCGGGUUAAUGUUUUGGUGGUUAUAUGCUUACCCAUUCUCUAACGCUGGCCACGGGCCCACAGAUUGGAUCGUGACAGCUUAGCACAAUUGGAUCGACUAUGUAAUGUCAUCACUUGGAUUCUCUAGCUUUUCUUGGAUUGUGGGCAUUUUCUCAGCCCCGGUCAUGUGCAGGACCUAUAUACGUGAUAUUUAAGGCAAAAAUUGAUGCCAAACAUGGAUUUAAACCUUAAAAUUCAUAAUCUUUUAUCUUAAAAGAUGAAGUUAUACAGAAAAGUAGCAAAAAAAAGAAAAAUAUAGAAAGUGAAGUUAAAGUCAAAAGUCAAGGCUCUAUCUUGAAUCCCUCAUUUGUCAUCUAAGUCAGUAUCCAUUUCCUGAGUCUAUAGAAUAGAUAGUUGAAGCGUCAAAGUGUCAAUCCUGUGCUGCUAGGCCUCGAUCUGGCACUGGUGGUCAUCUAUCUGCCCUUGCAUGUCCUCGUGGCCCUUUUGAAAAAAACCCAAAGGAGUUAGCUUUUGCAUUUUAUAACAUACAUGCAUACAUUUUGUAUUAUAUAAUUUAUUUUUGGGUCGGUUCUUACUCGCUAGUCCUCACCAAGAACAAAGAACUGUCUCCUUGUAGCUCCGACCAGCUGACAUACAUGCUUGAACUGAUCCCUUUAGACCUGUAUGAUUACUUGUAUUACUAACAUUUUAGGGGAAAGAGAAGAUGCAAAGUACCAAAAGAAUAUAACUUACAUGAGUACUAGUACUUAGAGUGAACCUUGAAGGAAGGCAGCUAAAAUUAGCUCAUGGGUGUGAGAAUUUGAAGGAAAAUUACAGAACCAGCCUAAUCAAGCCCUAGAGCCAACUACCUCUGUGACCUGUGCAGGUUGGCUUUACAUAAUAUUUUUCCAGUUUCAGAUUUUUAUGCAAUUUCAAUCUAUUUGAUACAUUGUAAUUUAGUUUUAGGUAUUUUUCUUUCAAUUUCUUAAUUAUAAGAGGAGUUUAAUAGUUAGACUUAAUUUUCUGGAAUUUAAUUUCUAUAUUGUAUUCAUGGGUACCAAUUAUUUCGUCUUUGUGGACAUCCUACUCAACUGUACAGAGCCGAUCGGCUUAGCAUAGAGUUGAAUCGGUUCUGUGCAAAGUCGAUUCACUCUAUACAGUUCCAAUUGGUUGAUUUUCUGAA